rnacentral:lncRNA from 1 species
UUUCCGAGAGCUGCGUUGAAGCUUCAGCCUAGAAGAGAAAAUCAAUCAUAUGAUGCAUAUGUAUUUGAGUAACCUGGCAUGCAUCAUAUAUCAAAAUUACAAGGGCUGAUGUUUAAGUAUGGGAACAGAUAUUCAUACAUUGGAAAAAUGAUGCAUCUUUUUUUGCCACAACACAAGAAAGUUCAUAUUAAACUGUCAUGCACUUAGUUGGAAAAACUGUAUUUAAUAAUCACUU